AAGAGAGAAAGAAAGACCGUUUGUAUUGAUCGGUUGAAUAACUUCUCAUAUGCAAAUAAAAAUCAAGGAAGAUGAUGACUCCCUUUUAGACUGCUCUUACCAUACAAAAUAAAGAAAAGAAAAAAAUGGCUGUAACCAGCCCCAAGAGUAAGGCACUCUCCUCUGCAAAAGGAAGACCUUCUGCCCUCUCUAGAAUAGAGAAAAAAAGUACUGAGAAAAGAUGCCUGAUUCUCUGCCCAAUUCCUCCUUAAAAGCUGGAGGGAAAUCUGCCCUUGUAACUAAUUCCUGCCACUUGUCCUUACCCAUUAUUCCCAAAAUCUGCCAGCUGUAUGACUAUCAAUUGUGUGCGCUCUGUUUCUUCUUUCUCCUGAAAUAUACCUUAAAAUUUCUUGUUUUUAAGCCCUCAACCUUAUCAUUACUUCCCUGUUGAGGAUCAAUCUUGUCCUCAAGACUGAAGUAAGGAAAUUGUCCCCGGAAAUCUGAUAAAUUCAUCCAUGUAGCGUCUUCAAUUCCCUUCCCCUUCCAUUUCACCAAAACUUGUUCUACUGUUUGAUUUUCCAAUUGAUCCUGCUUGUGUUGUAAAAUAGUUUCGGGUUCCACCAAGAGUUCUUCAUUCUCCUCCAGAUGGUCAGGGAUAGCUGCAAUCACGGGAUAGUUACCUACUACUCGUUUAAGUUGAGAAACAUGGAAUACUGGAUGUAUACGUGAUUCUUUUGGCAGCUUAAGCUUGUAAGCUACAGAUCCUACCCUGGCAAGAAUGGUGAAAGGUCCAAAAUAUCUGGCUGAUAACUUUGCAGAUGCCCUUUUUGCUACUGAUUGUUGCCUAAGUGGUCGCAAUUUGAGAAAAACCGCAUCUCCAACUUCAAAUUUUAAGUCCCUACGAUGCUUGUUGGCACUUUUACUCAUAAUCUGCUGAGCUCGACAUAGGUUAUACUUUAAUAGCCUUAUCAUUUCAUCCCUGUCUGCAAGUUGCUGUGCUACCUCUUCUACUUUGGUUUCUCCUGGUAAGAACUGCUGAAUAACAGGAGGUAAUCUUCCAUAAACAAUCUCAAAAGGAGUCUUUCCCGCAGAAGAUUGAAAAUUGGUAUUGUACCAAUAUUCUGCCCAACACAACCAUUUGGACCACCCUCUCGGCUGUUCCGAGGAAAAACACCGCAAAUAAGUCUCAAGGCACCUGUUUAUGACUUCUGUCUGGCCAUCCGUUUGUGGAUGGUAUGCUGUACUAAAUUUGAGUUGUGUUCCUUGCAGCCUGAACAUUUCCCCCCAAAAAUUACUCAAAAAUAGUGGAUCCCUGUCACUCACAAUGGUUCUUGGUAACCCAUGUAGUCUUACUACUUCCUUUGCAAAUCUUUCAGCUACUGUCUUAGCAGUGUAAGGAUGACUAAGUGGUAUAAAAUGGCUGAAUUUAGAUAAGCGAUCAACAACCACAAAAAUGCAAUCAAACCCAUUAGAGCGUGGCAAACCUGUUAUGAAGUCGAUGGAGAUGUCUUCCCAUAUUCUAUUCGGUAUUGGAAGAGGUUGCAGAAGUCCAGCCGGGUGUUGUGUAUCGUAUUUAUGAGUUUGACAGACAAGGCAGGCUGCCACAUAUUUCUUGACAUCCCCCAUCAUGCCCUUCCAAUAAAAAUUUGAAGCCAGUCGUCGGUAUGUCCUAUAGGCACCUGAGUGUCCUCCUUGACUAGUAGAAUGAAAUUCGGUGAUUAACUUCGAUACCCAUUCUGAAUUAGCUGGUAUCACUAGCCUUCCUUGAUAAUAUAGUCGGUCAUGUAUCAAAGAGUAAUGAGCAUGCCGGAAAGGGUCUGUUUGUAGAUCUUCGAUGAUCUUUCUCAGUUGUUUAUCAGCCCAUACCUCCUUACUAAUCUGUUCCCAAUCAGCCCAAAAAGGCAAUGAUAUUGCUAGAAUUUGCACCUCUUCCUCUUGUCUUGAUAGGGCAUCAGCAGCUUUGUUUGAUUUCCCAGAUCGAUACUCCACCACAAAACUGUAUCCCAUUAGCUUUGACAACCAAUAUUGUUGCGCAGGAGUGGUAGCUUGUUGCAUUAGUAUGUGCUUAAGACUUCGCUGGUCAGUCUUAACUGUAAACUUUUGCCCCAUCAAGUAAGGUCUCCAAUGCUGGAUAGCCAUAACUAAGGCCAUAAGUUCUCUGUCAUAUGCUGAGUGAGCUAAUGACUUUCCUGAUACUGCCUUGCUGAAAUAAGCGAUCGGUCUAUUUUGUUGUGUUAAGACAGCUCCCACUCCUUUUCCUGAGGCAUCACAUUCUACUACAAACGGAACAGAGAAAUUGGGCAUACCUAGGACUGGAGAGGAAAUUAUGGCUUUCUUGAGUGAGUCGAAUGCUAGCUGUGCCUGAUCACUCCACUUGAACACUCCACUGUUUUCUUUCUUUAACAACUCGGUCAGCGGCUGUGCCAUUUGCCCAUACCCUUUUAUGAACCUUCGGUAGUAUCCGGUGAUCCCCAAGAAUCCCCGCACCCCUUUAACAGAUCUUGGAAUCGGCCAACGAACAAUGGCAGAAACUUUUCUGGGGUCCAUUUCCACCCCUUUCUCUGAAAUCAUGUGCCCUAGGUAUUCUACUGAUAAUUUGCCAAAAGAACACUUUUUCCUGUUCACGUACAGUUGCUGAUCUUGCAAGGUGGAGAAAACCUUUUGAAGGUGGACUAGAUGAGACUCCCAAGUGCUACUGUAUACUAGAAUGUCAUAAAAAAAGACGAGUACAGACUUCCUCAAUUGCGGUCGAAAAAUGUCAUUCAUCACUGCUUGAAAAGUGGCUGGUGCGUUCAUCAAUCCGAAUGGCAUCACUAGAAAUUCGUAGUGUCCAGAAUGAGUGCGAAACGCUGUCUUGUGUAUAUCUGGAACAACAACCCUUAUUUGAUGGUAGCCAGAUCUUAGAUCCAAUUUAGAGAAAUAUCUCGCCCCGUGUAGCUCAUCUAGCAACUCCUGAAUAACUGGAAUAGGAUACUUGUUAGGCACAGUAGAUUUAUUCAGUUGACGGUAGUCUACACAGAAUCGCCAACUUCCAUCCUUUUUCUUCACCAACAAGACAGGACUCGAGAAAGGGCUAGUGCUAGGCUGAAUGAUGCCAGCUGAGAGCAUUUCUUUCACCAAUCUCUCUAUUUCAUCCUUCUGUGUAUGUCCAUAUCGGUACGGCUUUACUGAGACCGGCCCUGUUCCAGGUUGAAGCGGAAUACGAUGAUCUGCAGUUCUCUGAGGAGGAAGACCUUGGAGUUCUUCGAAAAUCUUCUUAUUCUUGUCCAACAAUUUCUGCAGCUCCAUCCGUUGUUUUUCCGACAGGAUAACUUCUUCUGCAUCUGUCAAUGGCAGAGUACUUAAUGGCCACAAAACCGCUGCAUAAUCCACAUCUAUUGUUUUUCGAAUAGCCCGUAAUGACACUCGGGUCCUAUUCAGAGAGGUAUCACCCGAUAAGCAGACUUCCUUAUUGCCGGCUUGGAACUUCAGAUACAUUUUCUUCCAGUUAGCUUGAAUGUCCCCCAAAGAUUCCAACCAGACAACCCCCAAAAUCAAAUCGACUCCCCCCAAAGGAAAUUGGUAGAAAUCAGAGACAACUGUAUAAUCAAAAAGACUUAGAUUCAAUUUCUUACAAACUCCUGUGGAAGGUACCUUGCACCCAUCGCCCAGCUUGACAUCAAAUUUGGGUGUACCGGCAGUUUCCAAUUUGAGUCGUUGAACCAGCUCCAAUGACACAAAAUUAUGGCUUGCUCCGCUGUCUACCAAUACUACAACCGGAGUCCCGGCUAUCCGGCCACGAAAUUUCAUGGUUUUUGGGUGUUGUAUGCCUCCUACAGAGAACAUCGGCAACUCCAUCCUGGAAAAUGAGCUUCAUUUAUAUCGACUCCCAAACCAUCAGUCUCCGUGAUUUCCAUUUCAGCGAAAUCCCCUUCCUCUACCUCCUCAUCUCCGGCAAUUAUGGCCCGCAAGGAUUUGCUUGGGCACUCAUGCAACAGCGAGUACGGUAACUUACAUUUGAAACACAAUCCUUUUGAGCGCAUCUCCUGGUAUUCUUGAUGAGAAUACUGUCGUGUACCCCGUAUCUUGGUCUGGCCAGGACCUCCAGGUAGUGGUUUAGGGUUUUUAUCCCCUUGGGUCAUCGGUUUAUUGAUUGCUGGAUCUGGAGGUUUAGAAAAAGGCCCAUCCCACUUACGAAAAUGGGUUGUUGCGUGGUUGUAUUUUUGGGUUUGGGUUCCCAGCGUUCUUUGGCCCAAACCGUGACUCACUCCUUUCUGCUUUUGAGUGUUACCGUCCCACGUCAUUCCCUUCUUCUUGCUCGAAGAGUUCCUCUGUCGUUCAAUCUCCCGAGCGAGUUUCAUAGUUUUAUAGAGGUCAGUAGUUUCAUGAGACCUCAAUCGUAACCUAAUAUCCUCCCUUAGUCCAUUUAAAAAAAACCCCAAGCAUUGGCGAUCGGAGACGUCGGGUACCAGCGACGCGCGAGCAACAAAUUCAUCCACAUAUUCUGCCACAGUGCCCAGCUGUUUCAAAGCAACAAGAUGCUCAUAUGGAUUUUCUAAAAUAUCAUCACUGUACCUCUCUCGCAACUCCUCACGCAGCUGGUUCCAUGUGAGUUGUGGGUUUCUUUGACGCAACCACCGCAACCAGUGCAACGGCGCACCUUCCAUACUCACCAGUGCCAAAGAGACUUUGGUUUCUUCUGGGAUGCUCUGAAUCUCAAAAAAUUGUUCUGUCCUUGCCACCCAGCCCACCGGGUCUGUUUCGUCAAAAUCUGGCAUUUCCACCUUCUUGGCCACCGUUGUCGUGUUUCCUAGCAGGAGCGGUAUAUUUGUUUCCCUCGUCACCGAGUUCUCCAUUAUCGAUUGCACCAGUGGAGAUGGACUCGAAGAAUCCCCAGUCUCGGCAGUACCUUUUCCUUUAACCAUCGUAGCUAUUAACACUUCCAGCUUAUUGAACCUCUGUUCUUGCUCUGCUCUCAUCCGCUCCUGUCCCAAUCUAAUGGCAGCCACUAUUUCUUCCAAAUCCAUCACACUCUUCUCUACCUGUUCCAUUCUAGAAUCCAUCCUUGUUUUUGUCAUAAGAGGAUCCGGCAGGUCGGAACAAUUUGAUAGAGUAAAGAGUGAGAGUUUUAUCAAGAAGACACAAGAGAGAAAGAAAGACCGUUUGAAUUGAUCGGUUGAAUAACUUCUCAUAUGCAAAUAAAAAUCAAGGAAGAUGAUGACUCCCUUUUAGACUGCUCUUACCAUACAAAAUAAAGAAAAGAAAAAAAUGGCUGUAACCAGCCCCAAGAGUAAGGCACUCUCCUCUGCAAAAGGAAGACCUUCUGCCCUCUCUAGAAUAGAGAAAAAAAGUACUGAGAAAAGAUGCCUGAUUCUCUGCCCAAUUCCUCCUUAAAAGCUGGAGGGAAAUUUGCCCUUGUAACUAAUUCCUGCCACUUGUCCUUACCCAUUAUUCCCAAAAUCUGCCAGCUGUAUGACUAUCAAUUGUGUGCGCUCUGUUUCUUCUUUCUCCUGAAAUAUAC
rnacentral:lncRNA from 1 species